ensembl:lncRNA
CCGGCUUGGGAUUCGCGGUCUGGAGCUGGACGCUCACAGCGGCUGAAAGUUAGAUUUCCGAUUUAGUGGCGUGCUGGGGAUCGCGGUCCCGGCGGGGGCGAGUCUGCACUUCACCGCGCACUGCGCGCGCGCACGUUCGCCCCUCGGGAUCCGGAUCGGCACCCCUAGAGGCCCGGAUCCCCGCAUCCCCGCCCGGUGGCCGUGCUUACCCUUCGGCUCCGGGCUCCUCGGAGCGAUCCUUCCCCAUCCGUCACUCGAUUUCGGGAGAUUGCCACAAUUUGGACUCACAAGCAAGAUUCACUCCAAGCUUUCAGAGGGCAUGAGGUACGUAGGUGGAUUCAGCAUCAGUUCCUGUUGAAGAGAAAUGUCCCUUACACUGGUUUACCAGGCUGCUACUUACUUUGACUUACCCAGUGUGUGUUUCCCCUUUGCCAUUUUCCUGUUGAUGAGUAGCCAUGAAAAAGCAGAUGGUGUGAAAGCCCACCCAGUUCCAGUCACUGACUUCUGAGCAGUACUCUCCUUGUUACAGUGUUGUUAGGGCCAGAGCUCAGGCCCUGGCUAUCCCAAUGGGUCAGGGUACAUUUCUGUUUUUCAUAGGUCACCUAAGCAGACACUUAAUAGUGAGAAAUAGAAAAAGGAGACUCCGUGGCCACAGUGGGAAGAGGAAUAGUAAAAGCCACCCAGUGGCCCCCACCCCUUGUCUAAGCCUAUCUGCAUCGG